GAUGAACGCUGGCUACAGGCUUAACACAUGCAAGUCGAGGGGAAACGACGGGGAAGCUUGCUUCCCCGGGUGUCGACCGGCGCACGGGUGAGUAACGCGUAUCCAACCUGCCUCUGACUGAGGGAUAACCCGUCGAAAGUCGGCCUAAUACCUCAUGGCAUCGUCUGCGGGCAUCCAACGACGAUUAAAGAUUUCAUCGGUCAGAGAUGGGGAUGCGUCUGAUUAGCUUGUUGGCGGGGUAACGGCCCACCAAGGCGACGAUCAGUAGGGGUUCUGAGAGGAAGGUCCCCCACAUUGGAACUGAGACACGGUCCAAACUCCUACGGGAGGCAGCAGUGAGGAAUAUUGGUCAAUGGGCGAGAGCCUGAACCAGCCAAGUAGCGUGCAGGAUGACGGCCCUAUGGGUUGUAAACUGCUUUUAUGCGGGGAUAAAGUGAGGGACGUGUCCUUCAUUGCAGGUACCGCAUGAAUAAGGACCGGCUAAUUCCGUG
rnacentral:rRNA from 1 species